rnacentral:lncRNA from 1 species
CAUGUUUUGAAUGAAAACAGGAGCGCAAUUUCUCCCGCUCACCAGAUCAUUAACUAAAUCAGGUUCACAGAAGAAUCGCCUGUUGAUGAAAAAUGAGAGGGAAAGUUUUACCCAGCUUACAAAGCUUAUUAACAAGAGCAGCUCCACAAAGAACAGCCUGAAGCUAAUUAAGUGGCUUCAGAAAAGGAGACUGCUUAAAAGAAAAAUGAAAUGCAGAUUAUGCCGGCAGGACAUGAAACUGAAGAAAAGGACCAACUGUGGAGAUCAAUAUGCUUGGAUUUGUCGACAAGCACAUAAAGCAAAACAAGUUUCUGUCAGGCACAAGUCAAUCUUUCAUGGAUCAAAGCUUUCCUUCAGUAAAUGGAUGCAGUUCAUGUACAGGUUUUCUCAGGGUCUGCGGUUGCGGCAGAUAGACAUGAUGGAUGACAGCAUUGCAGGCAGUUCAACGACUCUUAGUAAAAUGGCAAACAAAAUAAGGAAGGUCUGUGUCACAGCAGUUGAAAGAAUGAGAAGGUAUACAGGCCAGCAGAUUGGAGGAAGAAGAGAGUUUGUUGUGAUCGAUAAAGCCAUUUUCGGCACAAACGAAAGUACGGUAGAGGAAGAAUGGCUGGUGGGUGGAAAAGAAAGAAGUGGGUCUUUGGAAUGUUAGGUGUGAGGCAUCAUCAUCAGAGAGCAGGAAGACCAAUUCUACGUCUUGUUGAGAGAAGAUCUCGAAGACAUCUAGUCCCCUUGAUUGCCCAUCAUAUUAGGCCUGGAUCAUCAAUUAUCAGUGAUGAAUGGUGUGCCUAUCGCGUCCUCCCUGCACUAGGGUACAACUAUUACAUAUUUUUGUUGUGUAUGGGCACCAGUGGCAUAUUGAGAGAGCCUGAAGAUCCUACAAAGAGCAGAUCUGGAGACUUAGGGGGAAUCGGACUGAGAGUUUGCGUUCUGACCACCUUGCAGUGAUUGAGUGGAAUGAAUGGCUGGCAAGGAAACACCACAGUGGUGCAUUUGGCAGAUUGAUUCAUGAAAUUUCUCGAAAGUACAAGUAGCUAUAACAGUC